GGCGCGUUCGUCUAACGGUUAGGACGGAGCCCUCUCAAGGCUUAAAUACGGGUUCGAUUCCCGUACGCGCUACAA
rnacentral:tRNA from 1 species